GGCCAUCUGUUUGUACAAAACGUCAAAGUUUGACAGACUGAUAUUUGAAAAGGCAGGAUUCCCCCCAUUCCAUUUUGGUCUAUCCCAUCUCAUUAUUGCUGGGUGGUUGAACACCGCACGGGCUCACGGAGUGCAGCUGCUCUUAGCAAUGGCCUCGAACUUGAACUCCGGCGUCAUCUCGGAAACUUGUGGUGACCUUCCCACCUCGAAGGACUCCGCCGUUGAUAAAACCGCCAAUCGGAAAGGGUUUGAGGAUACAGUUUCAGGGAUGAACUGUUCUUCCCAGCGAGAGCUCAAUCGGAGCAAGGAUGCCGUCAACCUGGCAUCAGGGUUCUCUAGCGACACUUCUCAUUCACCUGCUGCUGGAGCAAGAUGUGCGGAGGAAUCUAUGAAGGAAUGCUACUCGGAUGUUCACAGGGCCCGUGAGACACAACCUCCCUACGAUCUCACCCCGGGGAUGGCCGGCCGGCCGUCGGAACGAUCUGCUCUUCCACGACCGAUGCCAUCUGCUGCCACGCAGCACGGCGAAGGGUCCAGCUCAUAUCCAUACUGCGCUGACGAAAGUAGGGACGGCAAGAUCUGCUCUUCCACGACCGAUGCCAUCUGCUGCCACGCAGCACGGCGAAGGGUCCAGCUCAUAUCCAUACUGCGCUGACGAAAGGUAACCAAAAAUGUUCAUAGAUUUUAACUAAUCUUUCUUGGAAAACUUUCUUGACAUCACCUGAAAAAUCCGCAUAAAACAGUAGGGACGUUCGUGCCGUCGAUAUCGAAGCUGCUUUCGGCUGUCGCUCCUCCGCUCCAUUCACUGUGCCACAUCCGACAAACACUGGUUGCGAGCAGCGUGCUGAAGAUGGCUGUUUAGAGGGCUACCAGCGACGCCAAAGGGGUCGGGCCGGGGAAAGUCAUAGCCUAGAACCUGAAGAAGAUGGCUCUAACUACAUCAGGAGAGCUUUCGAUAGAGCCGCUGAGCGAGGUUCACGCAUCGUCUUUGAGCCUGCUGAAGGGAUGAUAUUUUCAACUGAACAAGAAGCCUAUCAGUUCUACAACACAUACUCCUGGGAGAUGGGUUUCGGUAUUAAAUACGGCAACAAGUACGAGAUAAAGAAAACGGGAUACAAGACCAAUCAGGAUUUCCUCUGCUCGUGCGAGGUAUCCUUGUUGUGCCAUUCGAGUUUUAACUUUUUUUUCUAGUGUGAUCAAUUAGCGAGAUCAAUUAGUUGUUACUUGUUUGUCUAGGGGCGGAGCAAUGUACUCCCUCUGUUCCGAAAUAUUUGUCUUUUUAGAGAUUCAAAUAGACUACCACAUACGGAUGUAUAUAGACAUAUUUUAGAGUGUAUAUUCACUUAUUUUGCUCCGUAUGUAGUCACUUGUUGAAAACUCUAGAAAGACAAAUAUUUAGGAACGGAGGGAGUAGGAAACACCAGGUCAGCGUGGACCAAAUGCCCAGCAAUGGUUCGACUGAAGAGGACAUCCAAUGAUGGCUGGUUUUUCUCUCGAGUUGUUUUGAUUCACAACCACGAGCUGGCAGAAACGGUUGGUGAGAAAAAAGUCUGGAAAUGUCAUAAUGCCAUUGAUUCUUCGAUGAGAGAUCUCAUCAAACAUAUGCGUUCAAACAAUGUGCAAGUUAACAAGGUGUUUGGGGUCAUGGCUGACAUCCAUGGGCGUGCUGAAGAAGUCCCGUUCGGCAAGAGGUGUCUGAAAAAUCUUUGCGCAUCAAUUGCACAUGAAGCUAGCCAGGACGACAUCGCCAAGACGCUUGAGCUUUUUGCAACAAUGCAAUCCCAGAACCCUGAUUUUUUCUAUUCAGUUAAGACCGACAUAGAAAGGAGAGUGUCUGGUCUCUUGUGGUGCCACUCGAAGAGCCGUGCUGAUUACUGGUUGUUUGGUGAUGUUUUGACAUUUGACACAACCUACAAGAGCAAUUUAUAUGAGAUGCCUGUUGGGCUUUUUGUAGGUGUCAACAACCAUUAUCAGUCUACUCUUUUCGGUUGUGUUGUUUUGCGAGAGGAGACUGUAGAGUCAUUCAAGUGGGCUUUUGCAACCUUCCUUGGUGCCAACGGCGGUAAAACACCAAAAACUAUUCUCACAAGUAUAUAUAUAUUUUUAAAUGGCUAGCUUCGCGCAUCUAUAUGUUCAAUAUGCUCAUACAUGUCAGUGCAAAAUCUCUUACUAGAAAUUUUUGCAGAUCAAUGCUUGCAGAUGGAGCGUGCGAUUGCUGAUGUUAUGCCUUCUACUGCUCACCGUUGGUGCAAAUGGCACGUGAUGGAAAACAUCAAGGAGAAACUUGGGACCUUGUACAAGAAAGGUACACCAUUCCGCAUAGAUUUCAACUAUCUAACCAACGAGAUGAUGACUGUCGAGGAGUUUGAAUCUGGAUGGCAGUUUCUGGUUUCUAGCUAUGGACUACAGGAUAACAGGUACAUGUAGGAUGUGUUUCACUGCAGGGAUAAAUGGGCCAAGCCGUAUCUUAGCUCUAACUUUUGUGCCAAAAUGUCAAGCACACAACGGAAUGAGUGCAUGAAUAACGUUCUUAAAACUUAUGUAUCACUAUCAGCACCGCUCAACAGAUUUGUGAUGCAGUAUAACAAACUAAUAGCCUCUCGUUGCGAAGAAGAGGACUUUGAAAUGGCACAUACAAAAAAGGUUUCCUUCUUUCUUCUUGACAGUACAGUAAAUAAUUACAUUCAUAAAUUAUCUGACUAGCAAUAAAAAUAGCGUGCUUAGCUUACUGAAUGCAUUUUGGUCUGUAGGAUGGUAAGGUGUUGCAUAGCAAUGUGCCCAGCGAGCGUCACGCCUCCAAGGUCUAUACUCGUGCUGUGUUCAAGUUAUUUUCUGCUGAGUUGUAUGAGGCAGGCAGU